rnacentral:pre_miRNA from 1 species
GGAAGUUAAGAAACUGUUUCUUAACUUUUAACUAAAAAAACUAAGAACCGGUUCUUAAAGUCCUUAUUUAAAAACCGGUUCUUAGCUUUUUUAGUUAAAAGUUAAGAAACAGUUUUUUAACUUCC